UCGGGAAUUUUGGGCAAUGGGCGAAAGCCUGACGCAGCGACGCCGCGUGUGGGAUGAAGGUCUUCGGAUUGUAAACCACUGUCGGGAGGGACGAAGCUCUGACGGUACCUCCAAAGGAAGCACCGGCUAACUCUGUGCCAGCAGCCGCGGUAAUACAGAGGGUGCGAGCGUUGUCCGGAAUCACUGGGCGUAAAGGGCGCGUAGGCGGCCUGGUAAGUAGGGGGUGAAAUCUCAUGGCUCAACUGUGAGGCUGCCUUCUAGACUGCUGGGCUUGAGCACGGUAGAGGCUGGUGGAAUUCCCGGUGUAGCGGUGGAAUGCGUAGAGAUCGGGAGGAACAUCGGUGGCGAAGGCGGCCAGCUGGGCCGUUGCUGACGCUGAGGCGCGAAAGCUAGGGGAGCGAACGGGAUUAGAUACCCUCGUAGUCCCUGAGCGGGCUGGCAAGGCGCAU
rnacentral:rRNA from 1 species